rnacentral:rRNA from 1 species
UACGGAGGAGGCAAGCGUUAUCCGGAAUUAUUGGGCGUAAAGCGUCCGUAGGUGGUUUAGUAAGUCUGCUGUUAAAGCGCGGGGCUUAACUCCGUAUCGGCAGUGGAAACUACUAGACUAGAGUGUGGUAGGGGUAGAGGGAAUUCCCAGUGUAGCGGUGAAAUUCGUAGAUAUCGGGAGGAACACCAGUGGCGAAGGCGGCGACCUGGUUCGAUACUGACGCUGAGGUGCGAAAGCGUGGGGAGCAAACAGG